rnacentral:lncRNA from 1 species
UGACAUUCCAAUUUUCUCCCAAUUCUAUUGGAAGGUCAAUCUUAAAUGCUGUAUAGGAGGAUCUCAUUGAGAAGAUAUCAUUUGAGCAAAGAUGUAAAGCAAGGGAGGGAAUGAGUCAGUGGCUACAUAGCGAGAGUGUCCUAGGCAGAGGAAACAGCUUCUACAAAAGCCCUGAAGCAAGAGAAUGUUUGAAGUGUUCAAGAAUAAACAGGAGAUGCAGAAUGAAUGGAAUUGAGAGUGAGUGAGGCAGUCGGAUACAAGAGAGACUAAUAUGGGGCAGCACUGAAGACUGCUGACAGCAGCCACAUGAGUGAGCUCAGAGUGGACACAACAGCCCCUUCAGAGGCUGCAGGGAUGGCAGACAGCCUGACUGCAAUGUCGUGAAAGAUGCUGAGGCAGAACCAUGCAGCAAAGUCAUUCCCAGAUUCCUGACUCUCAGAAAAUAACCAGGACUCAAUUCCUGCUCCAUGACUACAUUUGGAACUUCACUGCUGAGUUUCCGGUUCUGCUAGAGCUUCCAAGAAUGGUGGGCUAAAGUCCCUUUCCUCGAUAAUCUCAUUUCUCAUGGUUUUCUACUUAAAGCAAUACUGUCUAUGAAGUGCAACCUGGCUCUUCCUUCUCCCGUAAUCAUUGCCUCUCUGGAUUUUCCUUCUUCCAAGACUCCCUUUCCUGAUUCCCUUUAACACCCCUUUCAUAAUUCACAUCCAGAGAGUUCUCUGCAAUCACCUACCCAUCCCAAUCUCCA